UAAACUAAACUAUUUUCUG
rnacentral:tRNA from 5 species